AGGACCAAAGGCUUAGGGGAAAAAUCAGCAUCCCUAAGACAGGACCAGAUGGAACGGAGAACAGACUCAGACUCUCAGAUUGUCAGACAGACAAUGGGUGAAAACAGAGCAGAGGUCAUGAAAUGAAGGCGUGGACCAGGCUCCACUUAAGAGAGGGUGGAAGGACAGGAAAACAAGGAAAGACAGCACAGCGAGAUGAAGACGUCAGAGACGCAGGAGCAGGUACUUUUAUAACCUGUGUGCGUGGAUUCACUCCUGUGGUUCUCAGAACGCCCUUGUCACGGAAGCACUACUUCUGGUCCCCUCUGACAAAGGAGAAAAUUGGUCUGGUCAAGUAGCUUGUCAAAGUCACACAGAGUGAGUAAGCGACAGACCCAGUCUUUGAAGCCAGACAACACGGCUGCGGCUUCCCCACGCCCCACAUCAAGACAACUCAACUUAUUCCAUUUCAUUCACCCGCUCUCUCCCCGCUGCCUAGCAGCCAACAGAGACCCGCAAGGUCUGUUUUGCCUGCUGUAGUAAACUCUGCUGCCACCAGGGGCGAUGCUGCCCACGAUGGUCUCAGCCACCACCGUAUUCAGCGCAGAUCCUGGGAGACUGUGGCUCUGUUCAGCUGGACUCUUCCUGUGCAAAUAGAAGGCCAAGUGCAGGAGAGAGAUUGCUCACUGGGCAAGGGUGUGAAAGGACAGCCUCUCAGGGCCACAGGGAGGAUAUAGGCUCUAGGAUUGACGGCUGGGUUCUCGCAGCCUCCCAUGCUGCCUGGCAAAAAAAAAAAAAAAAAAAGGCAACCAGGCCUGUGUUAAGGUACCUAAACUUUUCCAAGCCUGAGCUUCAUUAUCUGGAAGUGGAAACAGCCAUCCGCCAGCUUGCCUGCAGUUAAAAUCACCUCAUCUCCACCCUGUCUGGAAGUGGCUGCUGCAUCUUGAGCAAGCCAUGCGGGGACCACUGCGCACUCUCUUCCCAGCAGUCUCCUGGGCGCCUCCCCAGAGCAGAAAGCCGAAGCCUGUACAGGCUCAGCCCGCCAGGAGGCAACGGAGCUUGGAGGAGGAGGACAGCUCCUGUCUGUCCACGGCGGAAACAGGCCCACGUUGUUUGGAGCUGGAGCAGAAGCAGGCAAGGGGGAUCAGCCACGUGGAUGGUCUCGCCUCAGCCCGAAACCUGGUGAGAAGUGUUCGUGUCUGUGCCAGAAGCUACAGCAAGAGAGGAGGAAGGCGAGGCCCGGCGUGGCCCCAUGCUUGUCCACCUGCUGGGGCCUGGGUGUGACACAGACUGGGGCCGAGGCACAUCCAGCGGCCCCCCGGCAUCCUGCAGUGACAGAGCUGCACCAGGUCUUGGGACACAGAGGAAAGGAAGGCGGCAGGUCCUGUGUGCCUCACGAGAUGGAGGGAGGUCAACCUCGGAAGGGGGCCUGGACCCCAAGAGGGCAGAAAGGCAGUAGGGUGGGCUCCCGCCUGGUGGGUGGACAAGCGCUGCUAGCCCAGGAGAGCCAGCAGGGUGGCGCUAGGACGGCCACCAGCAUCGGCUGGAAAACAGGUGAACUCACCAAGCGUUUUGUAGUCAGGCUCAGCGCCCAACUCAGUGAAAACCUGCAAAGUCCCACUGGAGGCUGGUCUACACUGGGAGCUUCCACCUUUAGCUACCACAGGGGGUUUUCUUUUCUUUUUUUUU